rnacentral:ribozyme from 13 species
UUGAUAUUGCAGUUUGAUUCUUUUUUUCUUCUUUUUUUUCCUCGCUCCUUCUUGAACAAACCUCCAAAUUAGGUGGAAAAGGUUGAGGCAAGAAAGAACCCAAAAUAUAUUUCUGUGAAAUCCAAAACAGACCACAGUUAUUAUUUUCGCGCUCGAAACAAAGGAGAGAGAGAUGAAUGGUU